GCCUCUCGUGGCCCAUCCUCUGCUUCUUCCCAUCUUCUCUCCCCGCUGUCCUCCUCCUCCCUGCCCCGUCCUCCCUUUCCUAUACACCCUCUCCUCUCCCUGGUCCCCACUUUCCUCCUUCCAUAUCUGCUCCCCCUUAAUUAUCUUAUUUCCCCCUUCUGCCUGCUGGUCCUUUCUCCCUGUUCCCUCCUCCCCAAUUUACCCCUCUCCUAUUCUCCCUCCUCUCCUCCCUGCCCUCACCUUCCCUGCUCUGCUGCUCACAGACUACCAGUCCCUGCAGAUAGGAGGCCUCGUCAUCGCCGGGAUCCUCUUCAUCCUGGGCAUCCUCAUCGUGCUGAGCAGAAGAUGCCGGUGCAAGUUCAACCAGCAGCAGAGGACUGGGGAACCCGAUGAAGAGGAGGGAACUUUCCGCAGCUCCAUCCGCCGUCUGUCCACCCGCAGGCGGUAGAAACACCUGGCGCGAUGCAAUCCGGCCAGGACUCCCCUGGCACCUGACGUCUCCCACGCUCCACCUGCGCGCCCACCGCCCCCUCCGCCGCCCCUUCCCCAGCCCUGCCCCCGCAGACUCCCCCUGCAGCCCAGAAUUCCAAUAAAACGUGCGUUCCUCUCGACUGCA
rnacentral:sRNA from 1 species